GACGAACGCUGGCGGCGUGCCUAAUACAUGCAAGUAGAACGCUGAAGGAGGAGCUUGCUUCUCUGGAUGAGUUGCGAACGGGUGAGUAACGCGUAGGUAACCUGCCUGGUAGCGGGGGAUAACUAUUGGAAACGAUAGCUAAUACCGCAUAAUAUUGACUAUUGCAUGAUAGUCAGUUGAAAGGUGCAACUGCACCACUACCAGAUGGACCUGCGUUGUAUUAGCUAGUUGGUGGGGUAACGGCUCACCAAGGCGACGAUACAUAGCCGACCUGAGAGGGUGAUCGGCCACACUGGGACUGAGACACGGCCCAGACUCCUACGGGAGGCAGCAGUAGGGAAUCUUCGGCAAUGGACGGAAGUCUGACCGAGCAACGCCGCGUGAGUGAAGAAGGUUGUCGGAUCGUAAAGCUCUGUUGUAAGAGAAGAACGAGUGUGAGAGUGGAAAGCUCACACUGUGACGGUAGCUUACCAGAAAGGGACGGCUAACUACGUG
rnacentral:rRNA from 1 species